ensembl:lncRNA
GGCAUAUUUUGCAGGAAAAUUUGCAGGAUGACUCUAAUCCAAGUAAAUCUGAAAACAGUCACUAUCUGUAAAGGGAUUAAGGUCCUAACCCAGCUCUUCUUCCAUAAUAUCUGGAGAAAAAGCUGUUGGAAAAUAAAGCAAAAUACCCACACGAGAAUACAGGAGAUGGAAAAUAACUAAGAAGAAUUAAAUAAACAGUACUUCAGAUGGUGAUCUUCUCUGUAUAAUGGUUCAGUUCUUCAGAAUUACUAUAAACACAGAAUCACUGUGUGAGCACUUCAUCCAGCAUAGAGGAGCUUCCAUUGCAUGGACAGAUGCUGUUUGAAGGAACGCUGAGAUUCUGGAGUGAAAGCUGCUAUAUAACUUCAAAACAAGGUUGAACAAGAAGUGGAGCAGCCUAAUGAAGCAUGGAUUCAGCUACUAAAGCUGGAGACUUUAUAAAUGUAAAGAAUUUUUUCUCAGGUAUUCAAAAUCUAGGUGACCCAUCAGGCCCUUGGUAGAUUGCUCCUGAAGUGACAAUACUCCAGUGCUUCCUCCAAGUGGAUGCCCAACAAGCAGGACAACAGUACAAGCAGCAGAACCUGAGGUGUUCGUCUGCAGCACAGUGUUUACUAAGAAUACUGAUUUAUUUCUUUUUCUUCACCUUCUAUUCCAGAUGGGAAGUUUACCUAGCCAGCUUAGUUUGUCUUUGCAGGUAUUUCUCACAUUACAUUCUUUUGAUGGCUGCAGAUUGUAGUGCAAUUAUAGUUUACAUUGUAUGAAAUUACUACUAUAC